GGGGAUAACAGCCGGAAACGGCUGCUAAUACCGCAUAAGCGCACAGCUUCGCAUGAAGCGGUGUGAAAAGCCUUCGGGCGGUGUGGGAUGGGCCCGCGUCUGAUUAGCUGGUUGGCGGGGCAGCGGCCCACCAAGGCGACGAUCAGUAGCCGGCCUGAGAGGGUGGACGGCCACAUUGGGACUGAGACACGGCCCAAACUCCUACGGGAGGCAGCAGUGGGGAAUAUUGCACAAUGGGGGAAACCCUGAUGCAGCGACGCCGCGUGAGCGAAGAAGUAUUUCGGUAUGUAAAGCUCUAUCAGCAGGGAAGAAAAUGACGGUACCUGAGUAAGAAGCUCCGGCUAAAUACGUGCCAGCAGCCGCGGUAAUACGUAUGGAGCAAGCGUUAUCCGGAUUUACUGGGUGUAAAGGGAGCGCAGGCGGUCUGGCAAGUCUGAUGUGAAAUACCGGGGCUCAACUCCGGGACUGCAUUGGAAACUGUCAGACUGGAGUGUCGGAGAGGCAGGCGGAAUUCCUAGUGUAGCGGUGAAAUGCGUAGAUAUCAGGAGGAACACCAGUGGCGAAGGCGGCCUGCUGGACGAUGACUGACGCUGAGGCUCGAAAGCGUGGGGAGCAAACAGGAUUAGAUACCCUGGUAGUCCACGCCGUAAACGAUGAA
rnacentral:rRNA from 1 species